rnacentral:rRNA from 1 species
GGUUGAUCCUGCCAGUAGUCAUAUGCUUGUCUCAAAGAUUAAGCCAUGCAUGUCUAAGUAUAAACAAAUUUAUACCGUGAAACUGCGAAUGGCUCAUUAAAUCAGUUAUAGUUUAUUUGAUGGUAUCUUGCUACAUGGAUAACUGUGGUAAUUCUAGAGCUAAUACAUGCUUAAAAGCCCCGACUUCUGGAAGGGGUGUAUUUAUUAGAUAAAAAACCAAUGACUUCGGUCUCCCUGGUGAUUCAUAAUAACUUCUCGAAUCGCAUGGCCUUGUGCCGGCGAUGCUUCAUUC